rnacentral:rRNA from 1 species
GUGGGGAAUAUUGGACAAUGGGCGAAAGCCUGAUCCAGCCAUGCCGCGUGUGUGAAGAAGGUCUUCGGAUUGUAAAGCACUUUAAGUUGGGAGGAAGGGCAGUAAGUUAAUACCUUGCUGUUUUGACGUUACCGACAGAAUAAGCACCGGCUAACUUCGUGCCAGCAGCCGCGGUAAUACGAAGGGUGCAAGCGUUAAUCGGAAUUACUGGGCGUAAAGCGCGCGUAGGUGGUUUUGUAAGUUGGAGGUGAAAUCCCCGGGCUCAACCUGGGAACUGCCUCCAAAACUGAAUGACUAGAGUACGGUAGAGGGUAGUGGAAUUUCCUGUGUAGCGGUGAAAUGCGUAGAUAUAGGAAGGAACACCAGUGGCGAAGGCGACUACCUGGACUGAUACUGACACUGAGGUGCGAAAGCGUGGGGAGCAAACAGGAUUAGAAACCCUUGUAGUCC